rnacentral:rRNA from 1 species
AUGAUCAAUUCAUAUCAAUUAAGCCUAUCAACUGAAAAAAAGGGGCAAACAAGAUUUACAGGUGCCUGCAAUGGAAUCAAAUGGGAUGGAAACAAGCAUGAAGGGCCAGAAACUUGUACCUCAAACAUGAUGAAGCUAAGUUCCUCAAUGCAUGUCUCUCUUAUAGCAUUAACAAAUCCUGUGAAAAGAAAACAGAUUCAAUCAUGCUUUUCGAAAUUGGUUAUUGACAACAAAACAGAGUGGAGCAUACUUGUUUACUCAACAAAACAGUGCAAGUCCACUGAGAGUUACAGUGUAAAUCCAAUAAGAAUUACACUUUAA